rnacentral:rRNA from 1 species
ACGGGAGGCAGCAGUGGGGAAUAUUGCACAAUGGGGGAAACCCUGAUGCAGCGACGCCGCGUGAGUGAAGAAGUUAUUCGUAAUGUAAAGCUCUAUCAGCAGGGAAGAAAAUGACGGUACCUGACUAAGAAGCCCCGGCUAACUACGUGCCAGCAGCCGCGGUAAUACGUAGGGGGCAAGCGUUAUCCGGAUUUACUGGGUGUAAAGGGAGCGUAGGCUGUGGUCCAAGUCAGGGGUGAAAGCCCGGAGCUCAACUCCGGAACUGCCUUUGAUACUGGAUUGCUGGAAUACGGAUGCCGUGGGAGGAAUGAGUAGUGUAGCGGUGAAAUGCAUAGAUAUUACUCAGAACACCGAUUGCGAAGGCAUCUCACGAAUCCGUCAUUGACGCUGAGGCACGAAAGCGUGGGGAUCAAACAGGAUUAGAUACCCUGGUA